rnacentral:rRNA from 1 species
AAUACGAAGGGGGCAAGCGUUGUUCGGAAUUACUGGGCGUAAAGGGCGCGUAGGCGGCUUAUCAAGUCAGGCGUGAAAUUCCCGGGCUCAACCUGGGGGCUGCGCUUGAUACUGAUGAGCUUGAAUGCGGGAGAGGAUAGUGGAAUUCCCAGUGUAGAGGUGAAAUUCGUAGAUAUUCGGAAGAACACCAGUGGCGAAGGCGGCUCACUGGACCGGUAUGACGCUGAGGUGCGAAAGCGUGGGGAGCAAACAG